UACGUAGGGGGCAAGCGUUUGUCCGGAAUCAUUGGGCGUAAAGAGCGUGUAGGCGGCCCGGUAAGUCCGCUGUGAAAGUCCAGGGCUCAACCCUGGGAUGCCGGUGGAUACUGUCGGGCUCGAGUCCGGAAGAGGCGAGUGGAAUUCCUGGUGUAGCGGUGAAAUGCGCAGAUAUCAGGAGGAACACCAAUGGCGAAGGCAGCUCGCUGGGACGUGACUGACGCUGAGACGCGAAAGCGUGGGGAGCGAACAGG
rnacentral:rRNA from 1 species